CAGCAUCUUAAGGCGUUACUUCAGCGCUGCCCUUUCCGAAGUCAUUAUUACUCAUUAGGUAUAUUGUGCAGAAAGCAAAGUAGGUCACGGAUGAAAAGCCCCAUCUUAGCGAGAGGCACCGGUAUUGCACAAAGCUAUUUUCAACUUUCAUGAGAUAAAAAAUGUUUUCUGUAGGAUGAAAGCUGUCACUGCCAACUUACAAAUGAAUGCCAAAUGUUUCUGAGAACUAAUGUAUCAUGAAGGAUUUCCAAGGAUUUUCAAGGUGCAGCAGAUUUCUUAACCACUGACUCUGAAUUUCCUCAAAUGGACUUUUCAAGAUAUCCCUGAAUUCAGCCAUGGCUCUUCCAGAAACCCAAAGACCCCAGAGUGCCCAAAACUGACCUCAGAAACUUGGAGACACAAAUGAUGGCCUGAUGGCCCUAUUUAUUUAUUUAACUGUGCAGCAUUAGAACACUGUGACCCAAGAACCAGUCAUCAAAGAAAGACAUGGAAUUGUUGAAUGCUUGUGAGUUGACCCCGUUUGAGUCUUUAUCUCUA